ACUCCUACGGGAGGCAGCAGUGGGGAAUAUUGCACAAUGGGCGCAAGCCUGAUGCAGCCAUGCCGCGUGUAUGAAGAAGGCCUUCGGGUUGUAAAGUACUUUCAGCAGUGAGGAAGGCGGAGUCGUUAAUAGCGGCCUCGUUUGACGUUAGCUGCAGAAGAAGCACCGGCUAACUCCGUGCCAGCAGCCGCGGUAAUACGGAGGGUGCGAGCGUUAAUCGGAAUUACUGGGCGUAAAGCGCAUGCAGGUGGUUUGUUAAGUCAGAUGUGAAAGCCCGGGGCUCAACCUCGGAAUUGCAUUUGAAACUGGCAGCUAGAGUACUGUAGAGGGGGGUAGAAUUUCAGGUGUAGCGGUGAAAUGCGUAGAGAUCUGAAGGAAUACCGGUGGCGAAGGCGGCCCCCUGGACAGAUACUGACACUCAGAUGCGAAAGCGUGGGGAGCAAACAGGAUUAGAUACCCUGGUAGGAUAGCG
rnacentral:rRNA from 1 species